AUUGAACGCUGGCGGCAGGCCUAACACAUGCAAGUCGAACGAGUGGCGGACGGGUGAGUAAUGUCUGGGAAACUGCCUGAUGGAGGGGGAUAACUACUGGAAACGGUAGCUAAUACCGCAUACCAUCAGAUGUUCCCAGAUGGGAUUAGCUAGUGGGUGGGGUAACGGCUCACCAAGGCGACGCUCCCUAGCGGGUCUGAGAGGAUGACCAGCCACACUGGAACUGAGACACGGUCCAGACUCCUACGGGAGGCAGCAGUGGGGAAUAUUGCACAAUGGGCGAAAGCCUGAUGCAGCCAUCCCGCGGGUGUGAAGAAGGCCUUCGGGUUGUAAAGCACUUGCAGCGAGGAGGCGUUACUCGCAGAAGAAGCACCGGCUAACUCCGUGCCAGCAGCCGCGGUAAUAC
rnacentral:rRNA from 1 species